CUCAAUUUCAUGAGCCAUGGGCGCAGUUUGUUUAAUUAACUAGCCAAUUUUCACAAUACCUUGUGGCGCUUUUCAUUCCGUCAGUUUGCGUUGUUGCUGCUGUCGAGUGUGACUUUUCAAGCGUGUGACCGGAGGUGAAAUUUUUAUUUCUGAUUUUUGGCAUUAGACCCGCGAAACAUUGACGCAAAAUGCUUAAAAAGUGCCGGCCAGACUGGCUGACUCUUUUGCUGGCCAGCCUGCGAUGGCGAUAAAUGUGCGCAGAUACGUUACAGACCGCGUCGCGUCGUCUGGCCGCUUUAAAUGGACAACUGGGAGUGGGUCACAGCUGCAGCUGUGGAUCCGUAGUGGAGCCUGCGGCCCGCCGAGGCAAACGAAGCGAUUAUAGGGAUCCAGACUUGGGACUAAGCCUUCCCCGAAACCAGUUCCUCUUCCCAGACAGACUUCGCUGCGAUUCUUUCUUUCGAAGCGUAAAAAUUUCAAUUUAUUUAUUGGUCAUGCGUCUGUAUCAUCGUAUCGUUUUUCGAACACUUUCUUUAUAUUCGUUACCCGAACUUCUGGAAGAUAUAGCUACAUGUGUCGUGUUGCGACCAGAAACCCCCAGUAUGUUGGCCUCGCUCUUGGACUUGGACUCACCAGCACGCAAAGCCGUGCCAAAAUGUGUGUCAAUGGCCUUUGGGGGCCCUUCUUUUCAUUUUUAUUUGGGGCGGAGAUACGAAGUCUGGGGCGUGUCCCAAGCGAAUUUUCACUAAAAUGAAAAUUAAGAGUGAAAACGCAAACAAAGCAAAAGAGGUGUGGACGACGAUUUCAACUGCAGGCCAUGCAUGACCCCGCGUAUUAGUGUCCCAUCCCCUGGCCGUCUGAUUGUCAUGCUAAAUGGGUGAAGUGAAACUACGACUGCGAUUUCGGACUGUCGAGAGCAUUGGCCAGCUCCCCAAAAGAGCAUUGCCUGUUUUCAGCUUUUUCUUCUCCUACUGUCAACUGUCAAACGAAAUUUACACGUUUUUCUUUCCAGCUGCACCUCACGAAAUAGUCGAGACUUGAACAAAGAAAUGGGGAGUGCGUGAGCCUCUUUUAGCUGAUUGAUUGUUUGGCAAAGUUUGCAUGUUAAUUGCCUUUAUGGUGGCGAUAGACGACAAAGCACACUUAAAAGUCUAAAACCCCAUAACUGAGUUCAUUGGAAUUUUAUUUUUUUAUCAGUCGAGUCGGCUGCUCAUUUUCUACAAACUGACAUUACUUGCUUUUGACUCUCACCCUGGCAAAGUCAAUGGAACUAAAGCAAAUAUAUCAAGGAUUUAAAACAAAGUGGUGGAUAAGAUAAUAAUACAAUGUUGACUAUUGUUAAGCAAUCAAAUCCUCUGGAAGCGGAACGGAAAUGGUCGAGGCUGCCCCAACAAUUCAAUUAAGCUGGCUCCUCCUGCACAUUUGAACGAUCGAACCCCAGUGGAGUCGACUCGGUUCCUACCUGCUAGUCUGGCUGAUGCGGAUUGAAAACAAAACAAACAGAGCUUAGACAACUCACAACAAUGCGGUCGUUGGACGCGCAGGCGCGCAGCGGGGGCGCUUAAUAUGCAGCCAGCGUAGCUGGCAAGUCGGAGAUGUAUACCCAUACCAUAUAGCCAGCAGCAGCUGGCGUCUUUCGUUCUUGCUGUCGCUCAACUGAUCAACUGGUUUAACAAUAAAAACAAAAGCUCA